AGUAGGGCCUGCCCACUGAAUAUUUGAAGGGCCGCAGUAUCUUGACUGUGCAAAGGUAGCAUAAUCAUUAGUUUUUUAAUUGAAAGCUGGAAUGAAUGGUUUGAUGAAAAAAUUACUGUUUCUAUAUUAAUUUUUAAAACUUUAUUUUUAAGUUAAAAAGCUUAAAUUUUUUUAAAAGACGAGAAGACCCUAUAGAGUUUUAUUUAUAAAUUUUUAAUAAUUUUUUAGAAUUAAAUUUUUUAUUUAAAGUUGUAAAUUUUAUUGGGGUGAUAAAAAAAUUAAAAAAACUUUUUUUUUAUUUAUACAUUAAUAUAUGAUUUUUUGAUCCAUAAAAAUGAUUACAAGAAU
rnacentral:rRNA from 1 species